rnacentral:rRNA from 1 species
AACGAACGCUGGCGGCGUGCUUAACACAUGCCAGUCGAACGGUGAAGCGCCUUCCGUUUUGUUUUGUGGGGAUGAGGGGCGAACGGGUUAGUAACACGUUAGUAACCUGCCCCCUUCUUCUGGAUAACCUCAUGAAAGUUUGGCUAAUACGGGAUAUUCUGUGUCUGUCACAUGAUGGGUCUGUGAAAGAUAUUGUGUCUGUGGGGGAUGGUCUCGCGGCCUAUCAGCUUGGUGGUGGGGUGAUGGCCUACCAAGGCUGUGCCGGGUAGCCGGCCUGAGAGGGUCGACGGCACUAGAGGGAAUGCGCCAUCGACACGACUACUAGGGGCGGCAGUAGUGGGGAAUAUUGCACAAUGGGAGGAAGGCUCCUGCCGUGCCGCCGCGUGAGGGAUGGACGCCUGCGGGUUGUGAACCUCUUUUGCCAGAGAAGAACACCUGCUUAGUGUGUGGGUGGGUUGACGGUAGCUGGAUAAGAAGCGCCGGCUAACUACGUG